rnacentral:ncRNA from 1 species
UCGGGAUAUCGCAGGCUCCCGACGUCGCAAAGACGGUUCCCCGUCCAAGUCCUGC